CCAGAACAGAGGACAUAUUUAUGAUCAGCACAAUUUUUAGAGUCACCUGGGAACUGUAAUUGAAAUUUAAUUUUUCGCGAUUCGUAAGGGCGUGUUUGGCUAUUCCUAUUGUUGAAAGCUUAGGUGUUGGUUAUAUAUAUAUAUGGUUAUGCUAUGUGAGUGGUGAACUUAUCAUUUGGAAGUCAAAUAAAAUAUUUGGGGGAGAGAGAAGAGAACCGUGAGAGAGAGGGAAGGAAGAAGAGGAAAGCUCCUCUAAUCAACACUCAUGGGGUUUUGAAGAUGCUUGAAGGGGGUGAAGAAAGAAAAAGAAGAUCAUCCAUGGGAAGCUUGGGAGGAAUUGGAGAAAGCUAGGAGAAAGACAAGGAUGGAACUAGGGUCGAGACGAGAACAUCGUCCUAUUACCACCGGGAACUGAUCACUGCACUCCACCUGGAGGUCAGUUUUAACCCAUGGCAUCCGUGCCUCUUUUGUCAACCUCAGAGUAUCCAGGCACUUAAGUGAAGGCAGCCUUUUUGCUAAACUUUUGAUUUUACACUCUGAUUGUUUGCUUAAGGUUGAUGUAUAUAUAAUUCCUUUGCCUGUCCAUGUUGUUUUACGCCCAAUUCUAAGGGCUGGGUCUGUAUAUAUAUAUAGCUGUACAUAGCUAACUCUCUGGUGCACGUCACUGUAUGUUUAUUUGCCUUAUGUUCUGUCUGUGAUCCUGGCAUGAUAGUGGUCGCUCAAUGGAUGCAGUUCUUUUAUUUAUGUUAA